CACUAUAACUUAAUUUAUUGAUAAGGUUCCAAACUCUUGACAAAUCAUAUCCUUCAUGCUUGGAUUGAUUAAUAAUGUGCCAAUGGUGAGUACUGACAAUCUAGUUCAGGAAUUCUCCUGAAUUGAAAUCUGCUCGAAGUCUCAGUUCAAUAUUGUCAACUAAAUGUAUCAUCAUCAUCAUCAUCAUCAUCAUCAUCAUCAUCAUCAUCAGUAAGCUUCUAUCACCCAGAGCCAGGUCUUCCUUCAAUACCACCACCCUCAUCAACAUUGAGCUUCAUGUUUUGGCUAUGGACAGGAGGGAAACAGUGCUUUCUUACAUUGCUGUCUGACUUUGCUUUGCCAACACUCAGUCGACUUGAGGCGAUAAUUACGCCUAUGCACCCUGAGGGAGUCGACACACACUCACACAAACAUUAACCCUCCCCAUCUCCUCUAGAACUCUGCCGUGGAGGAGAAAAAAAUAAACGAGCUAAAAAAACACAUUCCAUUUCCCGUAAAACCGGGCAAGGGGGCCAUGAGUCACCGUGCAGCAGUCUUAAACGGCCCUGUUCUCAUCAAGCGGCCGCUUUGAAUGUCUCGGCGCGGUGCUUUUAACUUCAGCCGCUCUACUGGCUCCAGUCAAGUGUAGUCGCCGGCCCUCUCUCGCCAUCUGUCCGCUUCCCAUCCCGCGAAAUGUGCAACUGCUACUACGUCUCCGACUAUAGCGCUGGCCUGUGGAGUUUUGAAUUUUCUGUCGUUUUUGUCAACGAUUCAACGAAAUCCCUUGUUUUAUUGGCCCGCUCUGAAGUGCGCUCCCAAGAUAAGUGUCAACUUCACUAGGCAACAUCAUAUAUCAUUUACAAAGGAGACUUUAAUGGUGCCAGGAAAAGCAUUACGGUAAACGGAACCUGAAAGGAACUGCCAAAGAAAGACAGUCUUAUGGGAAUACGCUUCAACAGAGAUGCUGUUCUAAACCCAGACAGACCCAGACUGAGACACAUUCCCCUCCUAUGAUGGAGAUAUCCCACAGGUCUGUACAACUCCCUGCCUGGACCUUAGUGCCUGCCUGCACACCCACACACACCCACACACAGCACUUCCAGACCCCUAACCAUGCACCCAAAGGGGACAAUUGUGACUCAGUGCGACUCACGCAUAGGUCUAGUAAGAGGUGCAAAUAAACACACACACACACACACACUCAUACACAGCUAUGUCUUAUACUUGUGAGGACUUUUUGGGGACCAGCAAUUGAUUCCCAUUCAAAAUCCUAUUUUCCCUAAGCGCUAACCCUAACCUUAACUUUAACCCUAACCUUAACUUUAACCCUAACUCCUAACUCUAAACCUAACCCUAAUUCUAACCCUAACCCUAACCCUAACCCUAAACCUAAAAUAGCCUUUUUACAAGUGAGGACCGGAAAAAUGCCCUCACUUCUCUGAAUUUUCGUUGGUUUGCUAUUCUUGUGAGGACUUCUGGUACUUACAAGUAUAGUAAAACGUGUACACACACACACACACACACACACACACACACACACACACACACACACACACACACACACACACACACACACACACACACACACACACACACACACACACACACACACACACACACGCACACACGCACACACACUGUGCUUCCAAAAUGCCAAACAGCCAGCCUCUUACAGAAAACAAGCUGUAUUAUUAAUUGCAGCCAUCCAUCUCCCUCCCUGAAGUUAUCACAUUUUGAUGAUGGUGACCACUUGGGAAUUUGGGGGGCUUUGCAUUAGAUACCCUCCUACGCUUUCUGAGCAGAGGGGAGGAGGGGGAGGCGAGGGGAGUCAAAGAGAGGAGGUGAGGGGGAAAAACUGAUUUUGGCUGGAAGUUCCACUCCAGGUGCCAGAGGAGACACCCCUCCCCCCUUACUCACCCGCCUUCCCCUUUCUUCAUGUGGUGGAAUGCUGGGUAACUAUUAAUCAUUUAACUAUUAAACAACACAGUGAUGUCAUUGCCCCCACAUCUUAUUUUGUAGCCUUAGAAAAAAAAACUCACGUGGACCAUUAAAGUGGCGUUGCUACCAGUAAUAACACAAACAAACGUUCUAACUAUGGAUGUCUAGAGUGAGCUCUUGGGGCAAGUAAAACUUAUGAAUCACAAUGAUGUUUUUAUCAGGUUGUUUCCUAUAGAAGACCCACAAUGUAAUACACAGCAACGCUUUCGCCAUUCGUCCUUCAUAUUAUGAAAGCACCUAUUGUCCAAUUCUGUAUCAUGAUGCCAGUGAUGAUAAUAGUGAUCAUUUUGUAGUAUGUAGAUGAGGUAUUGAAUAUUGAACAGUAGUUACAAAGGGGGAGGGAUGGGGGGUGGGGGGUGAAUUGACUCAUGUUCACAUUUUCCAAGCAAUAGAAGGAGAGAAUGUUCUCUGGCCCACAUGCACAAGGCAAGCUGAGGCAAGGAGAAAGAGUGGAGAGAUAGAAAAAGAGAAGAGAGAGAAGGCGAGUUGAGAGAGAUUUAAAGAGAUUUAAAGACAAGGAAGGCUGGAAAGAGAGAGAGCGAUAAAUAGAGAUAGAUAGAGGAAAUAUAUUGAGAAGAAGAACGAGAGAGAGAGAUGGUGAGAGAGGGAGAGAGGACAGAUUGAUGUCGUAACACAGAGAGGGUGAAGUGAGAGAGAGAGGGAGCUACAGUGCGAUAGUGUUUCAGCUGGUCUGUGUGUGUACUGCGAACAUCCACGCGUCAGAAUGAAGCUAUUCCCAGACUCACACACACUCACAAAAGCAUUUACAUUUGAGUGUCUGUGGCCCUCCAUUUCUACGCGCACAAUGUCAUUCCAGGAGAGAAACUGCAUGUCGUGAUCUUUCUGUUUUUUUGGUCUUCGCUCUUUUGAUGUAUUCGUUGCCAUUUCUCCACACACCGCUUUGAUUGGCUUUUGGUUGUUUCCUUGACAACAGAUCUAUAUUGGUUACAUCCCCGUUGGCGUAGGGGGUACACAGUCUAGGGAUGCAUCACUACUACAAGCAGACCCAUGAAGGCUCAUGGCUGUAGAGAUACACACCUUACACAGCAUGGGUGUGGCAAAUCCCAGAACAUCAGGACACUGGCAUUGUACUUCUAUCACUAUAAUGAGUUGAACUUAAUCCAUAUAGUAAUAUCAUGACUCUCUUUUUCUCAUUCGACAUGAAGAGGCUUAAGAGUGCUAGCCGCCACUCUACAACACCAUAGCCAAGGUGAGCUGUGGUACCAGAAAGUGAGAGAGAGUGAGUGAGUGUGGCCCUUGAGGCCCCAAACACUGGUAACAAGAGACGUUGGCUAGGUUCCAAUAUCCAUAAUAGCCACUUAUUUAGUUCGAAUCCAUGGCCAUUACAUUGCUUCAUUCUAAGUAGUACGCUAGUAUAGGCACUGGAACGAAGCCACAGCGUAUAAGAGGCCCCUAGGGAGUGAGCGUGGCCCCUGAGGACCCCAGACACUGGGAACAGGAGACAUCAGACUGGGUUUAUCUACAGUACAAGGUGAUAAUCACACAGAGAAUUCUGAAGGCGCCGGUGUUGAGUGAAUGUGUCAAUUUGAUUUUCGGAUUGCUUAACACCUUGUGUUGUCUUGACGUCAUUUCGAGGAUCUGGCAAGACACACACCCUAAUGACUAACCACCCACCUGCUGUGUCCGUAGACAUUAUGGUAACAGCCACGAUAUUCAAAUAAUUCUAUCAAAUGGUUUCCUACCUCUCUUGCAACAUUUGUGACUUGAACUCCCUUUUGACUUUCUACUGUUUAUUAACACGCAUGCUUGGCCCUCUAAUGCUUCAUUCAUUUUAAGGGGUAAUGAUUCAAAUAGUUCAUGAUUAAUGAGCUUAGGAGCAUUGUCCUUACUGUUAUUGUAUGACGUGUGCGUCCAUGUUAAUGUUACACGUACAUGGCUGAACACACACACACACACAAAGACAUGUACGUACGCAUACGCACACCGACAUACACACACACACGCACUCACACACCAACCCCCCACGUCUCUAACAUGCUCACUCCACUACAGGAAAUAAAACAUUUCCUGCUGCAUUUCACACAGGAAGUGAGGUUUGUGGCGAACUGUGUUUUUGGUGAAUUAUGAAUGAGAGGCGUAGUGUCAUUCAGCCCUGAUGAAGGAACUGUUCUAGGGCUUUUUAUUGAUAAUAAACCGGAAAUCCAAUCCGUCUGGGUUGUGUGUCUAUGAGGCUGAGUCUGACCGAUGUCUUACCUAUUCAACUUGAAGUUAAGUUGUUUAUACACGUGUAACAUCAUUCUUCUCAUCCAACCAACCCCAAAUCCUUCCCUCUGUAUCCCCAUUCUGGACACACAACCCUGGAGUCAAAGCAUCUGCCCCCCUCCCACUGGCUCCCAGUCUAUGAAAACAGAAAGUGUGCUGCUCCCUCUCUGGCCUGUGGAGAGAAAGGAGAAGGUGAGGGGAGGAGGCGGUGUGUGGGUGUGUGUAGAGGGGGUCCGCUUAGAGCCACGCCAUUAGACUGAUUAUAAUUGGUGAAUUACACAGGUGCUCGUUAGGCCUCGUUAGAGCUCGGCGCUCUGAUGUGGCUUGUCGACACAGGCACUUACAGAUACAGAACAAAGAGGGAUGGAGGAGGGGGAGUCUGUUGUCUUUUCUCUUUAUGGCAGGGGUGUGUGUGUGUGUGUGUGUGUGUGUGUGUGUGUGUGAAGACAACUAUGGGUACGUUUACAUGGACACAGUAAUACAAUUACUGAAAUCAGGCUACUGGUGGGAUUUGAUAAAUGCAGAAAAAUCGGCAAUCAAAAUAAACAUUUUAUCAAAGUGACCAUAUUAUUUUUGGGAAGCCAAUUUAAUUCUGAGUUCGGGCAUCUGAAGUUUGUAUGUGAAAACUAUUUCUAACAUGCAUACUUUUCGAUUUUCUGAACCCACUUCACUGGCGCUAAAGAGGGAGGCUCUCGGCUGGUGCUCAGAUCAAACACACCGCUGGAACACCGAUUAAGGUGUUUACAUGUCCUAAUAAUUAUAAUUGAAGAUAUAAUCUAGGUGUUGUAAUCAGCGUAUGCUUACUUACUUUAUGACCUUACAUCGAUUAAGAUAAUCAGUUCAAUAUCAAAUGAUGAAUGUGCAUGUAAACGUAGUCAUUGAUGUAGCAAGGUGGAGUCGAGGGAGGAAAACAAGUAUUUCAUUAGUGUUGUACACCUGUGUCUCUUCUCAUUGGUCCGUUUUUUUUUCUUCAUCCAGGUCAGUUCCUACCCCUGGUCAUAGAAGCCAGUGGAGGCUACUGAGGGGAGGACGACUCAUAAUAAUGGCUGGAAUGGAGUCAAUGGAAAGUUAUCUAACAGAUCAAAGACGAGGUUUCCAUGUGGUUGAUACCAUUCAUUGACUCCAUUCCAGACAUUACUAUGAGCCGUCCUCCCCUCAGUAGCCUCCACUGAUAGAAGUACAAA
rnacentral:lncRNA from 1 species